rnacentral:rRNA from 1 species
CAGGGUUUGACAUCCUGAGACCGCCGGUGAAAGCCGGUUUUCCCGCAAGGGACUCAGAGACAGGUGCUGCAUGGCUGUCGUCAGCUCGUGUCGUGAGAUGUUGGGUUAAGUCCCGCAACGAGCGCAACCCUCGCCUUUAGUUGCCAUCAUUAAGUUGGGCACUCUAGAGGGACCGCCGGCGACAAGCCGGAGGAAGGUGGGGAUGACGUCAAGUCCUCAUGGCCCUUACACCCUGGGCUACACACGUCCUACAAUGGCGGUGACAGUGAGCAGCUAGUUCGCGAGAACGUGCUAAUCUCUAAAAACCGUCCCUGUUCAGAUUGCACUCUGCAACUCGAGUGCAUGAAGGUGGAAUCGCUAGUAAUCGCAGAACAGCAGGCUGCGGUGAAUACGUUCCC